rnacentral:ncRNA from 1 species
AUUCUGGUUGAUCCUACCAGUAAUAUACGCUCGUCUCAAAGGUUAAGCCAUGCAUGUCUAAGUACAAACAUAUUUAAUGUGAAACCGCAUAAGGCUCAGUAUAACAGCUAUAAUUUACGAGAUCAUCACCUAAGUUACUUGGAUAACUGUGGAAAAUCUAGAGCUAAUACAUGCAAAAUGCCAGGACCUCGCGGGACUGGUGCACUUAUUAGUCAAACCAAUCGCGGGGCCUCGUGCCCCGUGUCAUUGAGUUGAAGUCUGGAUAAGUAUGCAGAUCGUAUGGUCUUGCACUGACGACAGAUCUUUCAAAUGUCUGCCCUAUCAACUAUUGAUGGUAGUGUAGAGGACUACCAUGGUUGCGACGGGUAACGGGGAAUCAGGGUUCGAUUCCGGAGAGGGAGCCUGAGAAAUGGCUACCACAUCCAAGGAAGG